UUGGAGUCUGCAACUCGAGUCUGCAACUCGACUCCAUGAAGUCGGAAUCGCUAGUAAUCGUAGAUCAGAAUGCUACGGUGAAUACGUUCCCGGGCCUUGUACACACCGCCCGUCACACCAUGGGAGUGGGUUGCAAAAGAAGUAGGUAGCUUAACCUUCGGGAGGGCGCUUACCACUUUGUGAUUCAUGACUGGGGUGAAGUCGUAACAAGGUAACCGUAGGGGAACCUGCGGUUGGAUCACCUCCUUA
rnacentral:rRNA from 1 species